GUGUCAGCAGCCGCGGUAACACGUAGGGGGCGAGCGUUGUCCGGAUUUAUUGGGCGUAAAGAGCUCGUAGGCGGCUCGGUAAGUCAACUGUGAAAGCUCCGGGCUCAACUCGGAGAGGCCAGUUGAUACUGCUGUGGCUAGAGUCCGGUAGGGGAGCGUGGAAUUCCUGGUGUAGCGGUGAAAUGCGCAGAUAUCAGGAGGAACACCAGCGGCGAAGGCGGCGCUCUGGGCCGGAACUGACGCUGAGGAGCGAAAGCGUGGGUAGCAAACAGGAUUAGAUACCCUGGUAGUCCACGCCGUAAACGUUGGGCACUAGGUGUGGGUCUCAACCAACGAGAUCCGUGCCGUAGCUAACGCACUAAGUGCCCCGCCUGGGGAGUACGGCCGCAAGGCUAAA
rnacentral:rRNA from 1 species